AAAAUUGAAUGUUGUCAAACGGUGCCCAAGUAUAGUAUCUGUUCUUAUCAAUUUAAUAUCUGAUAUAUGGAUCAUCGAUCCACAUGAUAUUAAAUUAAUUUUUCUUGAGGGAGGACCCACUACAGUAGCUUGCUACUGGGGUCUUCGAGCGUCACCCUUGCAUUACACUACUGCGAGGGCCUGGCCCACCCCUA